CCUACGGGUGGCAGCAGUCGAGAAUCAUUCACAAUGGGGGAAACCCUGAUGGUGCGACGCCGCGUGGGGGAAUGAAGGUCUUCGGAUUGUAAACCUCUGUCAUGUGGGAGCAAAUUAAAAAGAUAGUACCACAAGAGGAAGAGACGGCUAACUCUGUGCCAGCAGCCGCGGUAAUACAGAGGUCUCAAGCGUUGUUCGGAAUCACUGGGCGUAAAGCGUGCGUAGGCUGUUUCGUAAGUCGUGUGUGAAAGGGGCGGGCUCAACCCGCGGACGGCACCUGAUACUGCGAGACUAGAGUAAUGGAGAGGGAAGCGGAAUUCUCGGUGUAGCAGUGAAAUGCGUAGAUAUCGAGAAGAACACUCGUGGCGAAGGCAGGUUCCUGGACAUUAACUGACGCUGAGGCACGAAGGCCAGGGGAGCGAAAGGGAUUAGAUACCCCAGUAGUC
rnacentral:rRNA from 1 species